rnacentral:rRNA from 1 species
UACGAAGGGGGCUAGCGUUGUUCGGAUUUACUGGGCGUAAAGCGCGCGUAGGCGGGCAUUUAAGUCAGGGGUGAAAUCCCAGGGCUCAACCCUGGAACGGCCUUUGAUACUGGAUGCCUGGAGAUCGGGAGAGGUUGGUGGAAUUCCGAGUGUAGAGGUGAAAUUCGUAGAUAUUCGGAGGAACACCAGAAGCGAAGGCGGCCAACUGGCCCGAUACUGACGCUGAGGCGCGAAAGCGUGGGGAGCAAAC